rnacentral:rRNA from 1 species
AUGGGGAACAGCCUGAGGUGCUGCCUGGCGUGCGUGCUGCCGUGCGGCGCGCUGGACCUGGUCCGGAUCGUGCACCUCAGCGGCCGCGUCGACGAGUACGGCCGCGCCGUGCUCGCCGGGGAGGUCCUGGCGGCGCACCCGAACCACGUGCUCAGCAGGCCCUGCGGGUCCAGGCAGCAGGGCGGGCCGCGGAUCGUCAUCAUCGUGUCGCCCGAGGCCGAGCUGGAACGCGGCGAGAUCUACUUCCUCCUCCCGGCCGCCUCCGUGCCCGCCGACGCCAAGAAGAAGACCAAGACCAAGCGCGAGCCGAGCCCCGGCGCCGCCGCCGUCGAGGAGGGCCGGCGACACCAUCGCCACCACGUCCGGAGCAAGUCGGAAGGCAGCGCGGCCACGGCCGCCGUCGAAGGUCGCCACCUGCAGCAGCAGCAGCACCGGAGGCGCAUGAGCACCGGCAGCCACGCCACGUCGUGGCAUCCGCACCUGGCGCGCAUCGCCGAGGACCCCUGA